AAUUUGGAGUGUAAAAUCACGGUCCGGUCGGUAGUCCGGGCGCAUAAGGGCUUGCAAUAGCAGUGCCUUCUUGUCAGUAGCCUUCCCCCCUCGGGAUGUCCGUCACUCUAAUCUUUAUU
rnacentral:ncRNA from 1 species